rnacentral:rRNA from 1 species
AGUGAACGCUGGCGGUAUGCCUAACACAUGCAAGUCGAACGGCAGCACACUAAGAGCUUGCUCUUACGGGUGGCGAGUGGCGGACGGGUGAGGAAUACAUCGGAAUCUACUUUUUCGUGGGGGAUAACGUAGGGAAACUUACGCUAAUACCGCAUACGACCUACGGGUGAAAGCAGGGGAUCUUCGGACCUUGCGCGAUUGAAUGAGCCGAUGUCGGAUUAGCUAGUUGGCGGGGUAAAGGCCCACCAAGGCGACGAUCCGUAGCUGGUCUGAGAGGAUGAUCAGCCACACUGGGACUGAGACGCGGUCCAGGCUCCUACGGGAGGCAGCAGUGGGGAAUAUUGGACAAUGGGGGCAAGCCUGAUCCAGCCGUACCGCGUGGGUGAAGAAGGCCUUCGGGUUGUAAAGCCCUUUUGUUGGGAAAGAAAGGCAGCAGGUUAAUACCCCGCUGUUCUGACGGUACCCAAAGAAUAAGCACCGGCUAACUUCGUG